GACGAACGCUGGCGGCGUGCCUAACACAUGCAAGUCGAGCGAAGUGAGUACUACGGUACGAACUUAGCGGCGGACGGGUGAGUAACGCGUGGACAAUCUACCCGGUAGACUGGGAUAACACCUCGAAAGGGGUGCUAAUACCGGAUAAUGUCGAGAAGCGGCAUCGCUUUUCGAAGAAAGGAGAGAAUCCGCUAUAGGAGGAGUCCGCGUCCCAUUAGCUAGUUGGUGAGGGUAACGGCCCACCAAGGCGACGAUGGGUAGCCGGCCUGAGAGGGUGAACGGCCACACUGGAACUGAGAAACGGUCCAGACUCCGACGGGGGGCAGCAGUGGGGAAUAUUGUGCAAUGGGGGAAACCCUGACACAGCAACGCCGCGUGAGCGAAGAAGGCCUUCGGGUUGUAAAGCUCAAUAGUAUGGAAGAUAAUGACGGUACCAUACGAAAGCCCCGGCUAACUACGUGCCAGCCGCCGCCGUAAAAC
rnacentral:rRNA from 1 species